GGUAGUUCUCAGGUGAUGCACUCCGAAAUUGGGCUCCCCCCUCUCUGGUUCGGGGAUGUAUCACCCAACAACCACU
rfam:Myotis davidii contig13638, whole genome shotgun sequence.